CUUUACGGGCGAUACACAUUUGGAUUCGUUCUUGAAAGUUUUCCAUCACUCUCGCUAGCAUUUCGGGGGAAAUUCUUUCAAUUUCCUUUUGGAUGGCCUCCUUCAAUUCAAGGACCAAGGACGAUGUUUGAAAACCUCGGCCUUGAGCUACGGUCCAUACAGGGCGUCGUCAGCGCGAAAUUUUGCAGAUGAUGUUCAAAUGUGUAUCGCCCGUAACGGCCACCAUUUGGACGACAUAAUUUUUAAAACAUAAAGUAAAAAAAAAACUUUUUUUAUAUCUAGAUUUAAGAAAUAAAAAGUAUCUGGUGUUAUCUCGUACCAAUUUUUAUUUUUCAAUAGUUUUUUAAAAUGUGGGAGUUAUUUCUGCCGCACCCUGUAUAAAUAGACGAUCUAAUUUCAUAGGUAUUCAUGUUGUAACAGUAACGCAGCAAAAUGAAUCGUGCACAAUUCAGUAAUGUAAUAUAAAACAUUAACUAUUGUACAUGUAUUACUUAUCAAUAAUUAGAAAGAAACUUUUGGGACAACCUAAUACUUGGAAACAGAGACCUGGGCACUUUUGAUACGACAUUGUUUCGAUAAUCUUUUUAUUUUUAUUUCAAUAAAAAAUUUGCCCAGGUCUGCUUGGAAACAUGAAUUCUUUCUAUGCAUAAAAGAUCUGAAAAAUGCGUAAGGAUUCUCCGAAUACCUGCUCGAUAGAGCAAACUUCGUAAACGUAAUAUUACAAGAGUUCUUUUAUUCGUUUCUUUACUUGAUUUUUUUUUUAUUCGAACGAAUGUUUGCCCAUCUCUGCGCUCAGACGACGAAUUCGACGACCAAAUCAAGCCGCGAGAAGAUAAAAAAAAGGCUCUCCAGCAGUUCACUCGCGAAAUUAAUUCGUUUAUCCCUCCAUGCCUACCGCAUUGUAUUUUUUACCGAUUAUAAAAAUUGUAACCGAAAAUAAUCAUUUUAAGUUACAAUGAAUACUAUCAAUUUUUAUUUUGCUUAAGCGCGUUGUAUCCUCCGUUACUAAAAAGAAAAAGAAUGUUCUGUUCAGAUGCAGGACACGAAGGAAUUAACGCAACGACCGAAGAUCGAGAGCACUAAUUGUUAACAAACAAAGAGAUCGUAUCUGCGUGAGAAAGUAUCAAUUGUCGUUGUUUUUCCACCAUUCAUCGUUCUUUUUUUCCUUCAAUUUAUUCUUUCGUCUAAUGAAAGUCCCUUUGCAUUAGGGUUGCAAACCCUUAAACGAGUGCCGUAAUCAACUUGACAUCAAAGGUAGGAACUACCUGCCUCGGACUAAAAAAUAUCACGUACAGCCUCUGUAAGUAUUGCUACGAUCAAUUGUGCUCUUUUUAUCGGCCCUCCUGUCUCUCGUUUCCACACUCGUACGCGCAUGCAUUCACUCCCUCUCUCUCUCUCUUUCUCUCUGUCGCAUUCUCUCAUUCAUUUUCUCUUCAAUUUUGCACGAUACCUCGGUACAUAAGUUUGCUUACGCUACGCAGAUAGCCUCUACGGUUGCUUCGUUUUAAGCUAGGCGCAAACUCAGCGCAAUGGUGACGCAGCGAACUAUAUACCACGUUGCAUUGCACGCUGCGCGUUGAAAACUCAGUUUACGCUUCGUUGGUUCGUGUAGCUUUUUGAGACCUUUG